CUAAGCUUGACAUCCUUUUGACCGAUGCCUAAUCGCAUCUUUCCCUUCGGGGACAAAAGUGACAGGUGGUGCAUGGUUGUCGUCAGCUCGUGUCGUGAGAUGUUGGGUUAAGUCCCGCAACGGGCGCAACCCUUGUCUUCAGUUACCAUCAUUAAGUUGGGGACUCUGGAGAGACUGCCGGUGAUAAACCGGAGGAAGGUGGGGAUGACGUCAAAUCAUCAUGCCCCUUAUGGCCUGGGCUACACACGUACUACAAUGGCGUAUACAACAAGAUGCAAUACCGUAAGGUGGAGCUAAUCUAUUAAAAUACGUCUCAGUUCGGAUUGAGGUCUGCAACUCGACCUCAUGAAGUUGGAAUCGCUAGUAAUCGCAGAUCAGCAUGCUGCGGUGAAUACGUUCUC
rnacentral:rRNA from 1 species